rnacentral:rRNA from 1 species
GAUUCCUACGGGAGGCAGCAGUAGGGAAUCUUCCACGAUGGACGAAAGUCUGAUGGAGCAACGCCGCGUGAGUGAAGAAGGGUUUCGGCUCGUAAAGCUCUGUUGGUAGUGAAGAAAGAUAGAGGUAGUAACUGGCCUUUAUUUGACGGUAAUUACUUAGAAAGUCACGGCUAACUACGUGCCAGCAGCCGCGGGAAUACGUAGGUGGCAAGCGUUGUCCGGAUUUAUUGGGGGUAAA